rnacentral:lncRNA from 1 species
CUUUAAAAUGGCGAUCAUUUUGAAGAUAACAAACAAUCUGAAUUUUUCUAUUUAUGAGUUUAUAUUCACAUACAGGAUAAAUAGUGAUGAAAGGUGACAACUUUGGGAAUCUAUAACCAGGGCCAAAUUAAGGCUCUUUGAGGCUCAUAAGAACAAAAAAUUUUUAAAUAAAUUAUGAAAUUAUUCAGUAUUUUUAACCUGCUUUUGAGGUAUCCUAUUGUUGAGGGGUCCUAAGGACAUGUCUAUUGGGUUUAGUGAAUAAUCUGGCCCUGCCUAUAAUAGACAUCUGUCUGAGUAAAAAAAGAAGUCACAUAAAUAUAAGUCCAAUUUUGAAUGGUUUGGCACUAUAACUGAUUUAAUUGUAACAGAAAGAUAUGAAGAAAAAAUGGACCUGUAUUUAGUAAUGUUUUUUCUUAAAUUAAUAUUACAUAUUUAUAAUACUAUUCCAAAUCUACUUGCUAUUAUUUCAACAUAUAAUAAAACAGCCCAAUUAGCAAGUACUAGACAUCAGACCUUUAUUUUGUAUAACGUUUUCGGACUGAGGACAGUCCCUCAUCAGUACACAGCCAUAUUAAUUAAAAAAUUAUCAACAAAGUUCUU